UGCCUUCUCUGGCAGCUCCUGCGUCCACGUCAGCAAGGAAGAAGGGGCUUUUUUGGACACGUGUCUUCUCCUUUUUACGUGAUUUCUGUGUAAUUAUUGUUUUAAUUUUUUUGGCUACUAAUGCUUUUUGCUUUUUUGGGCUCUUCGAUGGCCCAUCUCCUUCUAGGGUUUCUGGUUGUUGCGACCAAGGACUAGCUCCUCUUCCCAAUCUCUUCGUCUCCUAGAAACUCAGAUCAUCACCUCUGUAACGUCAUCCGUUUCUUGCUUCGAUCUCAUCAUUUACUGCUUACCCACUAUUGAUUCCACUCUCUCUAAAUUAUAUAUCAUCAUUAUCAUCAAGAGAAGCCGCCUAAGACUCUUCACUAUAAAAUGGUACCUUCUCAGCGAUGAAUCGACAGUUGUACGAAAAUUCUGUUCCCGCGCUUAGUGGGGCAUUACACAGAGAGACAACAAAUUCCGGCUCUCUGAUGCCCUGUCUCUAUUCGAUUCACCGCUGGUACAGCAUUUGAAGACCUAACGGAUUCUGCUAAGCUGAUACCAACUGAGACGUUUCGAUUCCGCAGCUACAACAAUCUAUUGGCACUGGCAAACACCAAUAAACAACUACCAGAUAUACCUGGCCAGUUAACUCUAUCGUCAAUGAUGGAACACACGGUUCACAUCGUUUCAUGCUUACACUACGUAUAGAAAGGUAUUCCUUAAUGCAACCUCUGGAAACCACAUGUGCUUGGACACUGCGGGAAAAGAGCACUAUGCAAACCUCUGUUUAGGUUGUUUGGAGUGGCUUAAAGCAGACAGCCUCUUCAUCAAAGCUGAUUCAUGCUUAAAAGAUAGAACCCCUCACUGUUUAUGAGUUAACCAAUAUGUCCUCACAGCUGAUCCUCAGGUGAUAGAAAGAGUUAUAUAAAAUAUAACUUCCUACCUCUAGGAGUUGCACAGUCGAAUGUCCACUCUGCUGCUACUUAAUAUUUUUAAAAGUUUUUGUGAAUUGUAUAGAGUCUUGCAUCUUAUUUAUUUCCUUUUGCUUUUAGGUUCUUCUACUUAUCUUUUCCUCGGCCUCACUACGAAAACUAUAGCCUUGACAGUUGUAAAUAAUAUUUGCCUUUCAUGCAGCUCAUUAUCUGUUGUUGUUGUAAA